ensembl:lncRNA novel transcript, antisense to NRXN2
AGGAAAAGGAGAACCAUCGCAGAGACAGACAAGAAAUGAAGACGGCUCAGGGCUGUGAGGGAGCAAGAAGGGAUGAGCGCGGCUAUCUGGAUAAAGAAAAGGAGCAAGCCCUGCGGGAACAGGUACAGGAGAUGGGAAGAGAGCCAGCAACGAAAGUGGACAGGGACCUCUAGGGAACAGAAGCCAAGGCUUUCUGGGGCCUUGCUGUUUCCAUAGCAACGAAGCCUGCUGCCCAGGCACUAGGAGAACCAGGGGGCUCAAGGACCAGAAAAAGGAAUGUUUGACCUUGGUUUUGCCACAUGUACUAGUCCCACCCAGAAGCCAUUCCUCCCACUCCCUCACCUUCACUGCAGUCAAAGAAAGUAUCAUUAAAGAGAGUCAAACAGAAAGAAAGAAAAGAAUAAGGCAACCAUGUGAGUAAGUGAUUGGGACAGAACAAGAGGCCAGCAAAAAGGAAAGAGGCGGGUCUGGGGCUGGACAGUGGCUGCCAAGGCCAAGUGGAGAAACGAGGCCAUUUCUCGACUCCUCAGCCCUGCCUCCAGUCUCCUGGGGUGGGUGGCAAAGCUAGCUACUCUGGAGCCUGCGCCUCCACGGGCUCCAGUCCCUUUACCACCGGAGACCUGGGUCAGCCCAGAGACGCCAAGAGGCCUGAGGAGCAGCCAAAGAGAACCUGAAAGCCUUCGAGAAGAGGGACAGAAAAAGAGAUGAGCAAGUGUGGAAAGAAAACCCGAAGAUGGUGAGGAGAGAGAGAGAGAACCUGAGUAGGGGAGGUCGGAGCAUGACUUCAAGGGACUGGUGGAGGGAUUCUACUGGGGUGAGCCUGUAGGGGCGGCGGAGGGGCUCAGCAGAGCACAAACAAGAUCUGGGCUGAACAAGCCCUGAAGCACCAGGGGGCGCUCUCCCCUAUCUCGCCGGUCUGGCGCGACUGGGAACUACAACUCCCAGCAGCGCUUGCACAAUUACCGCCCCUAAUUGCUCCGGACCGAGAAAGGAAGAUAAUAGCUGAUGCUCGUUUAUCUCCCACAGUUGGGGAGUCUGUAGCCCUACAAGUGUCCCCAGUGAAUGUGGCUAGAGACUAGUUGUUGUGGUCCUGCAUUUCUGAGAACCAUGCAUGAGGGACAAAGCAGCUGCCUUCUUUCCAGGCCCAGCUCCCAGACCUCCUCUGGGAAGGUCUCCAGCGCCCCCCUCCGCCCUCCCUACUCUCGAGCUCUACAGCUGUCUGUUCUGCUCACUUGGCACUUACUGCCUAAUAACAUCUUGUACUGCUCCCUGGAGAGGAAAUGUGAUGUGAGAAAGAAGACCUGGGCGCUAGUGCUGGCUCCACCACCAGCUUUGUGACCUUCGCUGGUCACAAAGCUGGGCUCUAAGUCCCAGCUUCCCCGUCUGGAAAAUGGAGCUGAUCAUCAGGAACUGCACAGGCUGCUGUGGGCACCUCAGAAAGAGAAAGGGUGGGGUCCAGCUUCCUCAACCAUAAAGCAUCCCACAAAUAAACGACUCAUGCCAGUUGGUAACUUUC